rnacentral:rRNA from 1 species
GACGAACGCUGGCGGCGUGCUUAACACAUGCAAGUCGAACGGAAAGGCCUCUUUCGGGGGGUACUCGAGUGGCGAACGGGUGAGUAACACGUGAGUAACCUGCCCUUGACUUUGGGAUAACUUCAGGAAACUGGGGCUAAUAUCGGAUAGGAGCUCCUGCUGCAUGGUGGGGGUUGGAAAGUUUCGGCGGUUGGGGAUGGACUCGCGGCUUAUCAGCUUGUUGGUGGGGUAGUGGCUUACCAAGGCUUUGACGGGUAGCCGGCCUGAGAGGGUGACCGGCCACAUUGGGACUGAGAUACGGCCCAGACUCCUACGGGAGGCAGCAGUGGGAAAUAUUGCACAAUGGGUGGAAGCCUGAUGCAGCAACGCCGUGUGCGGGAUGACGGCCUUCGGGUUGUAAACCGCUUUCGCUCAUGACGAAGCUUUGUGUGACGGUAGUGGGUAAAGAAGCACCGGCUAACUACGUG